CACGUAGGGGGCAAGCGUUGUCCGGAUUUAUUGGGCGUAAAGAGCUCGUAGGUGGUUCGGUAAGUCGGGUGUGAAACCUCCAGGCUCAACCUGGAGACGCCACCCGAUACUGCUGUGACUGGAGUCCGGUAGGGGAGCGUGGAAUUCCAGGUGUAGCGGUGAAAUGCGUAGAUAUCUGUAGGAACACCGGUGGCGAAGGCGACGUCCUGGACCGGCAUUGACGCUGAGGCGCGAAAGCCAGGGGAGCAAACGGG
rnacentral:rRNA from 1 species